UACGUAGUGGGCAAGCGUUGUCCGGAUUUAUUGGGCGUAAAGAGCGUGUAGGCGGCCUGACAGGUCUGCUGUGAAAACUCGAGGCUCAACCUCGAGAUGUCGGCGGAAACCGUCUGGCUAGAGUCCGGAAGAGGAGAGUGGAAUUCCUGGUGUAGCGGUGAAAUGCGCAGAUAUCAGGAAGAACACCUAUGGCGAAGGCAGCUCUCUGGGACGGUACUGACGCUGAGACGCGAAAGCGUGGGGAGCGAACAGG
rnacentral:rRNA from 1 species